UACGAAGGGGCUAGCGUUGCUCGGAAUCACUGGGCGUAAAGGUGCGUAGGCGGUCUUUAAGUCAGGGUGAAAUCCUGGAGCUCAACUCCAGAACUGCCUUUGAUACUGAAGAUCUUGAGUCCGGGAGAGGUGAGUGGAACUGCGAGUGUAGAGGUGAAAUUCGUAGAUAUUCGCAAGAACACCAGUGGCGAAGGCGGCUCACUGGCCCGGUACUGACGCUGAGGCACGAAAGCGUGGGAGCAAACAGG
rnacentral:rRNA from 1 species